rnacentral:rRNA from 1 species
UCACUUGUUCUUUAAAUGAGGACUAGUAUGAACGGCUUCACGAAUGCUAUACUGUCUCCUUUAUCCAAUCAGUUAAACUAAUCUCCCCGUGAAGAAGCGGGGAUUCACUUAUAAGACGAGAAGACCCUAUGGAGCUUUAAACACUCUUAAACAUUUGAACCCUUUAUUAUUUACCUCCAGAAAACUUCACUAAACCCCCUCAUUUUGUUUAAACUUUUAGGUUGGGGCGACCACGGAGAAAAACCUAACCUCCACGUGGAAAGAAACUUAAUUCUAAGCAAAAAGCCACAUCUUUAUGCAUCAAUAAUAUUGACCUAAAUUGACCCAAUUAUUUGAUAAACGAACCAAGUUACCCUAGGGAUAACAGCGCAAUCCGCUUUAAGAGCUCCUAUCGACAAGCGGGCUUACGACCUCGAUGUUGGAUCA